rnacentral:rRNA from 1 species
UACGGGAGGCAGCAGUGGGGAAUAUUGCACAAUGGGCGAAAGCCUGAUGCAGCUAUGCCGCGUGUAUGAAGAAGGCCCUUAGGGUUUGUAAAGUACUUUUCAUCGGGGAGGAAAAAACAAAACUAAUAAUUUUUAUUUUCUUUGACGUUACCCGAAAAAGAAGCACCGGCUAACUCCGUGCCAGCAGCCGCGGUAAUACGGAGGGUGCUAGCGUUAAUCAGAAUUACUGGGCGUAAAGAGCACGUAGGUGGUUUUUUUUAAGUUCAGAUGUGAAAUCCCCGGGCUUAACCUAGGAACUGCAUUUUGAAACUGAAAUACUAGAGUAUCGUAGAGGGAGGUAGGAAUUCUAGGUGUAGCGGUGAAAUGCGUAGAUAUCUGGAGGAAUACCUGUGGCGAAAGCGGCCUCCUAAACGAAUACUGACACUGAGGGUGCG